CCUACGGGUGGCAGCAGUGGGGAAUCUUGGACAAUGGGGGCAACCCUGAUCCAGCCAUGCCGCGUGAGUGAUGAAGGCCUUAGGGUCGUAAAGCUCUUUCGCCAGGGAUGAUAAUGACAGUACCUGGUAAAGAAACCCCGGCUAACUCCGUGCCAGCAGCCGCGGUAAUACGGAGGGGGUUAGCGUUGUUCGGAAUUACUGGGCGUAAAGCGCGCGUAGGCGGACUAUUAAGUCAGGGGUGAAAUCCCGGGGCUCAACCCCGGAACUGCCUUUGAUACUGGUAGUCUUGAGUUCGAGAGAGGUGAGUGGAAUUCCGAGUGUAGAGGUGAAAUUCGUAGAUAUUCGGAGGAACACCAGUGGCGAAGGCGGCUCACUGGCUCGAUACUGACGCUGAGGUGCGAAAGUGUGGGGAGCAAACAGGAUUAGAUACCCCAGUAGUC
rnacentral:rRNA from 1 species